rnacentral:rRNA from 1 species
CCUACGGGUGGCAGCAGUGGGGAAUAUUGCACAAUGGGCGCAAGCCUGAUGCAGCCAUGCCGCGUGUGUGAAGAAGGCCUUCGGGUUGUAAAGCACUUUCAGCGGGGAGGAAGGCGGUGAGGUUAAUAACCUCAUCGAUUGACGUUACCCGCAGAAGAAGCACCGGCUAACUCCGUGCCAGCAGCCGCGGUAAUACGGAGGGUGCAAGCGUUAAUCGGAAUUACUGGGCGUAAAGCGCACGCAGGCGGUCUGUCAAGUCGGAUGUGAAAGCCCCGGGCUCAACCUGGGAACUGCAUUCGAAACUGGCAGGCUAGAGUCGUGUAGAGGGGGGUAGAAUUCCAGGUGUAGCGGUGAAAUGCGUAGAGAUCUGGAGGAAUACCGGUGGCGAAGGCGGCCCCCUGGACAAAGACUGACGCUCAGGUGCGAAAGCGUGGGGAGCAAACAGGAUUAGAUACCCGUGUAGUC